AUACCUCGUAUACCAAUUCGGUAAUGUG
rnacentral:sRNA from 1 species